rnacentral:rRNA from 1 species
UGGCGGUAAUAGCGCGGUGGUCCCACCUGACCCCAUGCCGAACUCAGAAGUGAAACGCCGUAGCGCCGAUGGUAGUGUGGGGCCUCCCCAUGCGAGAGUAGGACACUGCCAGGCA